rnacentral:rRNA from 1 species
UACGUAGGGACCAAGCGUUGUUCGGAUUUACUGGGCGUAAAGGGCGCGUAGGCGGCUUGACAAGUCACUUGUGAAAUCUCCGGGCUUAACUCGGAACGGCCAAGUGAAACUGUCAUGCUAGAGUGCAGAAGGGGCAAUCGGAAUUCUUGGUGUAGCGGUGAAAUGCGUAGAUAUCUGGAGGAACACCGGUGGCGAAGGCGGCAUCCUGGACCGGUAUUGACGCUGAGGCGCGAAAGCUAGGGGAGCAAACGGG